rnacentral:snoRNA from 2 species
AAGACUAUGCUUUCAGGGAUCAUUUCUAUAGUUCGUUACUCGGGAAGUUUCUCUGAACGUGUAAAGCACCGAACAAA